rnacentral:rRNA from 1 species
UACGUAGGUGGCAAGCGUUGUCCGGAUUUACUGGGCGUAAAAAGCGCGCAGGCGGUUGUGCAAGUCGCGUGUGAAAGCCCCCGGCUCAACUGGGGAGGGUCACGCGAUACUGCUCAACUCGAAGGCAGGAGAGGGAAGUGGAAUUCCCGGUGUAGUGGUGAAAUGCGUAGAUAUCGGGAGGAACACCUGUGGCGAAAGCGGCUCACUGGACCACAACUGACGCUGAGGCGCGAAAGCUAGGGGAGCAAACAGG